CACUAUAACAACUUAAAUGAGAUGAAAUUGCGAAGUUAUUAUAGUGUACUAGGGGUGUCCUUUUAAAAGGACACUAUAGGCCGCACCCAGCUCUCUUGUAAUGUCAGUUAAGUGGCCUGUGUGCAGUGCUCCUGCAAAACAUUGCGUUUUGGAGAUACUGCCAUGUUCUACAUAGCAGCUCUAAGCAUGCCUCUAGGGGCUUUCUUGCUGACAGCCACUAGAUGGUGGUUUUGCACCCACAACGAGAGUCAGCCUCUGUUCCAGUGACCCUGUAACAGCGUGACUGACCCUGUGAGUAUCAUGAUGUUGAGUGGAAGUAACAGCAGGUCACUUCCUCCCAGAUACAUACAGAGCCAAGGGAGGCAUAGUAGAGGAAGAUGUAGGAGGAGCAUUUUCCAGCCAGCCCCAGACUCCCAUCAUAUAAAAAAAUAUAUAGGGUGGACACAACAACUAUGAGUGUAAGGGUGGAAAUCUGCCACCCAUUAGACACACUCCCAAAAAGCCUAAAAAGAACUAAAA